GUUCACUUUACAAAGAUAUUUUAAUUUUUUAAAACAAAUUAAUCACCCUGUCAAAAUCCUUUGUGUUACGGCAUUGAAAUUCGAACAAUACGUUAUUUCAAUGAUUUUGGUUUUUUUUGAGACACCCUGUACACAAAAUUUUCGAAAAAUCACAAAAUUUGCCAGGAAAUUGACUUAAUUUUAGACAAAAUUUACAGAAUUUGUCACAUUUUUUUUUAUUGCAAGCCAAAAUUGCCCGACUGUUCAUCGAAUAUUGCCCGACUGCAAUAUGAUCAUCUGACGCCAUAACUACAAGAGCUACUACUGUAUGAAACCAAGAAGUUCAAAUUCAGCCAUCAUUAUAAACACUGCUGGGCCAAGGCGACAGUCAUUUGUCUUCAUAAAAGCGAUGAAUCUGAGGUGAUCAAGAUUCGCACCAAUGAACAACUUCAAAGCCUUAUUGUUCGUGCCACUGAAAGCUAGCUAAGUAGACCUUAUAAAAUCUUACAUUUAAAUUAAAUACGGCCGAUAAACCGACGAGAUCUCAGAAUAAAUCUCUAUUGCGCGAGCUACCAUUUUAUGGUGCAGAUUUUGUUUGAGAUAUUCAAAUAAAUAGUUGUACAUCUACUGUAUUGCCUACCAAGAAAGACCUAGAUAAUCUAAGUAGUAUUUAUGAUUUAGAUUUGUUUAGUCUUAAUACCAACAACAAUAUCAAUCCAUGCAGAUGCGAACCUUCCUUUUACCCAAAUUCGUGGCAACUAUAUAUAUAUUAUUCGCCGCAUAGUUUCUCAAAGCUAAAAGCCAGUAAGGAUAUUCCAGAGGCCUCCUUAUCUUUUCUUCAUAAUAAUCUAAGGAGCUUGAGA